rnacentral:rRNA from 1 species
GAUGAACGCUGGCGGCGUGCCUAAUACAUGCAAGUCGAGCGAACAGACGAGGAGCUUGCUCCUCUGACGUUAGCGGCGGACGGGUGAGUAACACGUGGAUAACCUACCUAUAAGACUGGGAUAACUUCGGGAAACCGGAGCUAAUACCGGAUAAUAUAUUGAACCGCAUGGUUCAAUAGUGAAAGACGGUUUUGCUGUCACUUAUAGAUGGAUCCGCGUCGCAUUAGCUAGUUGGUAAGGUAACGGCUUACCAAGGCAACGAUGCGUAGCCGACCUGAGAGGGUGAUCGGCCACACUGGAACUGAGACACGGUCCAGACUCCUACGGGAGGCAGCAGUAGGGAAUCUUCCGCAAUGGGCGAAAGCCUGACGGAGCAACGCCGCGUGAGUGAAGAAGGUCUUCGGAUCGUAAAACUCUGUUAUUAGGGAAGAACAAAUGUGUAAGUAACUAUGCACGUCUUGACGGUACCUAAUCAGAAAGCCACGGCUAACUACGUG